rnacentral:rRNA from 1 species
UAGGGAAUUUUCGGCAAUGGGGGAAACCCUGACCGAGCAACGCCGCGUGAGCGAAGAAGGCCUUCGGGUCGUAAAGCUCUGUUGUAAAGGAAGAACGGCGCAUACAGGAAAUGGUAUGCGAGUGACGGUACUUUACCAGAAAGCCACGGCUAACUACGUGCCAGCAGCCGCGGUAAUACGUAGGUGGCGAGCGUUAUCCGGAAUCAUUGGGCGUAAAGAGGGAGCAGGCGGCCGCAAGGGUCUGUGGUGAAAGACCGAAGCUAAACUUCGGUAAGCCAUGGAAACCGGGCGGCUAGAGUGCGGAAGAGGAUCGUGGAAUUCCAUGUGUAGCGGUGAAAUGCGUAGAUAUAUGGAGGAACACCAGUGGCGAAGGCGACGGUCUGGGCCGCAACUGACGCUC